rnacentral:rRNA from 1 species
AGCAGGUCCAAGGGUACGGCUGCUGUCGUUUGAAAGCGGUACGUGAGCUGGGUUUAAACGUCGUGAGACAGUUUGGCUCCUAUCUUCUGUGGGCGUGAGAAUUGAGAGUGGGUCUGUUCCUGCACGAGGGACCGGAAUGGACGAUCCCCUAGUGUACCUGUUGUCACGCCAGUGGCAUAGCAGGUACAUGAUCGGAAUGGAUAACCGCUGAAAGCAUCUAAGGAAACCAGCCACAAGAUAAGUUCUCCCUGUCGCAAAGACACUCCUAAGAUCCCAGGCAGACCACCUGGUAGAUAGGCCGGAAGUGUAAGCGCAGUACGCAUUCAGCUGACUGGUACUAAUAGAUCGUGAGUCUUCUUUAACUCU